rfam:Salmonella enterica subsp. enterica serovar Typhimurium str. LT2, complete genome.
AGUUGAGGCCACAGCCCUUCUUAUUUUUGUGUAUAAUUUGUUACGUUUACAUUUAUUUUUAAAUUAGCGUUAUGAAAAUAUCAGUACUACUGAAAUAGCACUUCUUCGCUUCGUGUAUUUUUACUAUGGUUAAUUAUCACAUAGCGCAAACGGUCAUUUGUGUAUCACUAUUCAUAAGAUUAACUAUUUACCAGUGGUAAUAAAAAUAAAAGUAAGUCAAUGGACAACAACAAUACUGAAACUCUAAAUGUUGAUAUUUUGAGUCAUGCCGUUACAAACAAAUACGAUAUUCUUAAUUGCACUACUCCCUUUUCGGGGUAGUUUUAUAGAAGG